rnacentral:rRNA from 1 species
AUACAGAGGGUGCAAGCGUUAAUCGGAUUUACUGGGCGUAAAGCGCGCGUAGGUGGCUAAUUAAGUCAAAUGUGAAAUCCCCGAGCUUAACUUGGGAAUUGCAUUCGAUACUGGUUAGCUAGAGUAUGGGAGAGGAUGGUAGAAUUCCAGGUGUAGCGGUGAAAUGCGUAGAGAUCUGGAGGAAUACCGAUGGCGAAGGCAGCCAUCUGGCCUAAUACUGACACUGAGGUGCGAAAGCAUGGGGAGCAAACAGGAUUAGAUACCCUGGUUGUCCAUGCCGUAAACGAUGUCUACUAGCCGUUGGGGCCCUUGAGGCUUUAGUGGCGCAGCUAACGCGAUAAGUAGACCGCCUGGGGAGUACGGUCGCAAGACUAAAACUCAAAUGAAUUGACGGGG